rnacentral:rRNA from 1 species
CCUACGGGUGGCAGCAGUGAGGAAUAUUGGUCAAUGGCCGGAAGGCUGAACCAGCCAUGCCGCGUGAAGGACAGGGGCCUAAGGGCGUUAAACUUCUUUUGUGCGGGAGCAAUAAUGGUCACGUGUGGCCAGACGAGAGUACCGUACGAAUAAGCAGCGGCUAACUCCGGGCCAGCAGCCGCGGGAAUACGGGGGAUGCAAGCGUUAUCCGGGUUUAUUGGGUUUAAAGGGUUCGUAGGGUGGGAGGUAAGUCAGCGGGUAAAUUCCCGCGGUGAAAGGGGUGAAGUGCCAUUGAUACUGCCUUGCUGGAAUGCGGAUGCGGUGGGAGGAAUGUGUGGUGUAGCGGUGAAAUGCAUAGAUAUCACACAGAACACCGAUUGCGAAGGCAUCUCACGAAUCCGCGAUUGACGCUGAUGCACGAAAGCGUGGGUAUCAAACAGGAUUAGAUACCCUUGUAGUC